rnacentral:rRNA from 1 species
UACGUAGGUGGCGAGCGUUGUCCGGAUUUACUGGGCGUAAAGAGCGCGCAGGCGGUCGUACAAGUCGCGUGUGAAAGCCCCCGGCUCAACUGGGGAGGGUCACGCGAUACUGUUCGACUCGAAGGCAGGAGAGGGAAGUGGAAUUCCCGGUGUAGUGGUGAAAUGCGUAGAUAUCGGGAGGAACACCAGUGGCGAAGGCGACUUCCUGGCCUGUUCUUGGCGCUGAGGCGCGAAAGCUAGGGUAGCAAACGGG